rnacentral:rRNA from 1 species
UGUAAGCGUAUACCAAAGUUGUUGCAGUUAAAACGCUCGUAGUCGGAAUUUGGUAGUUCCGGAUGUGUGAACGUCGUGUGCGCACUUCGCGGGGAUUGCUUUUGUGGUCUUGCGUAGGAUGAGGCACUUUUAUUAGUGAACGUCCUCACGCAACCACUUUUUACUGUGAGAAAAUCAGAGUGCUCAAAGCAGGCAUUUGCCGUGAAUGUAUUAGCAUGGAAUAAUAGAAUAGGACUUGGUUCUAUUUUGUUGGUUUGUUGGGACUGAGUAAUGAUUAAGAGGGACAGUUGGGGGCAUUUGUAUUUCGGUGCUAGAGGUGAAAUUCUUAGAUUACCGAAAGACAAACUGCUGCGAAAGCGUCUGCCAAGGAUGUUUUCAUUGA